rnacentral:lncRNA from 1 species
GAGGACGCGAAUUAGGGCAGAAGAUUAGGGCCGGUUUGGGUCGCUAGUGUAGGAAAUUACUUGGUGGGGGUUUUAUUCUUGUUAUGAUUCCGUGUUCCAUGUUUUAUUACGAAUCUGUGUGCUUUCCUCUGUUUUCUAAUAUUUAUGGGUGCCGUAUUUAGGUUAUGUAAUCUAGUUCUGUGCUUUACUAUGAGUUUGUGUGGUAUCUCGUGACUUGAGCCGGGGGUCUAUCGAAAACAACCUUUCUACUUCUUUAGAGGUAGAGGUAUGGACUGCGUACAUCUUACCCCCC